CGUAAAUGUUGUGACAAGUAAAAGUAUAACAGAAUAUAUAAAUAUGGUUGAACUUACAAACUUGCAAAUUCAGAGAGCUUCUGAAUAUAACGACGAUUAUAUAGGAAAUGGAUUGGAGCUUGUAAUUAAAUACAUUUUACAAACAAACUGCUAUGACUCGAGUAACAAUAAUUAUGUAUUAAUAAAAAACAAUUUGG